rnacentral:rRNA from 1 species
UACGAAGGGUGCAAACGUUGCUCGGAAUUAUUGGGCGUAAAGGGCUCGUAGGCGGUCUGUUGCGUCGGGAGUGAAAACUCGAGGGCUUAACCCUGAGCCUGCUUCCGAUACGGGCAGACUAGAGGUAUGCAGGGGAGAACGGAAUUCCUGGUGUAGCGGUGAAAUGCGCAGAUAUCAGGAGGAACACCGGUGGCGAAGGCGGUUCUCUGGGCAUUACCUGACGCUGAGGAGCGAAAGUGUGGGGAGCGAACAGG